rnacentral:pre_miRNA from 1 species
UGAUGGUGAUAGUGAUGAUGAUGAUGGUGAUGAUGAUGAAAAGUUGUCGUUUUUAAUUAUCAACGAAAUAAUUGAGACAACCAUCAUAUAAUUAUCAUCGUCAUCGUCAUCACCAUCAUCAUCAACA